rnacentral:lncRNA from 1 species
ACUAAUAAGCAGUUCUUUCUCUUGGGAGAUGUAAACAUCGACACGUUGGCCGACGACUCUUCUGCGCGCGACUUGAUGAAUCUCUUAUCCUCUUAUGGCUCUCUGCUGUACUGCUGUAGACUGCUCCUUUUGUUACGGGGGCAGAGACCUCGUCAGGCAAUCAUGCCUUCAGUCUCUGCCACCCGCAGGAUGAUGUGAUUUUCCUGCAAAUAAAAACUGACUGACUGACUGAC